CAUCAGAAGAGUUAGUUAAGUAUCGGCGGCCCUGCCAAGUCUCUCUGUAUUUACACCCAUUGUUUUCUGCAGUACUAUUAGUUUCCUCAGGCAGGCUAAGCCUGCCGAUUGGAACAACUUCAAACCUUUUUGUAAUUGCAAUCAGCGUCUGAAACAUAAUCUAAUAUUA
rnacentral:misc_RNA from 1 species